AUAAAUUAUUUUCUAAAAAAAAAAAAUCUGUUCUUAUCAGUUUAAUAUCUGAUACGUCCCCCAUCGGGGGACUACAUAUUAAAUGGAUUUUUCGAACAGGGAGUCGGAAAUGGGGCUUGCUCCGUCCGCUCCACGCAUCGACCCGGUAUUGCAGUACCUCCGGGAACGGUGCAACACUU
rnacentral:snRNA from 1 species